GACAGAGGAUGCAAGCGUUAUCCGGAAUGAUUGGGCGUAAAGCGUCUGUAGGUGGCUUUUUAAGUUCGCCGUCAAAUCCCAGGGCUCGACCCUGGACAGGUGGUGGAAACUACCAAGCUAGAGUACGGUAGGGGCAGAGGGAAUUUCCGGUGGAGCGAUGAAAUGCGUAGAGAUCGGAAGGAACACCCAAGGCGAAAGCACUCUGCUGGGCCGACACUGACACUGAGAGACGAAAGCUAGGGGAGCAAAUGGG
rnacentral:rRNA from 1 species